CCUGAGAGGUUGUCAUGGCGUUGUUGUGUGUUCUGAGAGCUUGUCAGGGUGUUUCUAUGUGUUGGGUGUUGUGUGUUUUCAGAGGUUGUCAGAAUGUUUUUAUGUGUUCUGAGAGGUUGUCAGGGUGCUGUUAUGUAGUCUGAGAGGUUGUCAGGGUGUUGUUAUGUGUUCUGAGAGGUUGUCGGUGUUGUUUCUUCUGAGAGGUUGUCAGGGUUUUGUUAUGUGUUCUGAGAGGUUGUCUGUGUUGUUAUGUGUUCUGAGAGAUUGUCAGGGUGUUUUUAUGUAGUCUGAGAGGUUGUCAGGGUGUUGUUUGUUCUGAGAGGUUGUCAGGGUUUUGUUAUGUGUUCUGAGAGGUUGUCUGUGUUGUUAUGUGUUCUGAGAGAUUGUCAGGGUGUUGUUUGAUCUGAGAGGUUGUCAGGGUGUUGUUUUGUGUUCUGAGAGGUUGUCUCUGUUGUUAUGUGUUCUGAGAGGUUGUCAGGGUGUUGUUUUGUGUUCUGAGAGGUUGCUGGGACAUUGCUAUGGUUGCAAAGGUGUUCAUAAUUCUUACCAUGGUGUUGCUUUGUUUUCUGGGUCGUUUCUGUGAUGAUGCCAUGUAGUUGCUACUGUAUGUGUUAUUGGUGGUUACCAGAGGUUGUCAGGGUGUUGUUUGUUCUGAGAGGUUGUCAGGGUAUUGUUAUGUGUUCUGAGAGGUUGUCUGUGUUGUUAUGUGUUCUGAGAGGUUGUCAGGGUGUUGUUUGAUCUGAGAGGUUG